UACGAAGGGUGCAAGCGUUGUUCGGAUUUACUGGGCGUAAAGGGUUCGUAGGCGGGAAGAUAAGUUGGGAGUGAAAUCCCUGGGCUCAACCCAGGACGUGCUUUCAAAACUGUCUUUCUUGAGUACUGGAGAGGGUGGUGGAAUUGCUGGUGUAGGAGUGACAUCCGUAGAGAUCAGCAGGAACAUCAGAGGCGAAAGCGACCACCUGGCCUGAAACUGACGCUGAGGAACGAAAGCGUGGGGAGCAAACAGG
rnacentral:rRNA from 1 species